rnacentral:rRNA from 1 species
GACGAACGCUGGCGGCGUGCUUAACACAUGCAAGUCGAACGGAAAGGCCCUGCUUUUGUGGGGUGCUCGAGUGGCGAACGGGUGAGUAACACGUGAGUAACCUGCCCUUGACUUUGGGAUAACUUCAGGAAACUGGGGCUAAUACCGGAUAGGAGCUCCUGCUGCAUGGUGGGGGUUGGAAAGUUUCGGUGGUUGGGGAUGGACUCGCGGCUUAUCCGCUUGUUGGUGGGGUAGUGGCAUACCAAGGCUUUGACGGGUAGCCGGCCUGGGAGGGUGACCGGCCACCUGGGGCCUGCGAUACGGCCCAGACUCCUACGGGAGGCAGCAGUGGGGAAUCUUGCACAAUGGGCGGAAGCCUGAUGCAGCAGCGCCGCGUGCGUGAUGACGGCCUUCGGGCUGUAAACCGCUUUCGCCUGUGACGAAGCGUGAGUGACGGUAAUGGGUAAAGAAGCACCGGCUAACUACGUG